rnacentral:rRNA from 1 species
AGCAGCCGCGGUAAUUCCAGCUCCAAUAGCGUAUAUUAAAGUUGUUGCAGUUAAAAAGCUCGUAGUUGAAUUUCGGGGUCAGUAGGUUGGUCGUGCCACUGGUAUGCACUGGUCUCACUGAUUCCUCCUUCCUGAUGAACCGUAAUGCCAUUAAUUUGGUGUUGCAGGGAAUCUGGACUGUUACUUUGAAAAAAUUAGAGUGUUUAAAGCAGGCUAACGCUUGAAUACAUUAGCAUGGAAUAAUGAAAUAGGACGAUCGAUCCUAUUUUGUUGGUUUCUAGGAUUGACGUAAUGAUUAAUAGGGAUAGUUGGGGGCAUUAGUAUUCAAUUGUCAGAGGUGAAAUUCUUGGAUUUAUUGAAGACUAACUACUGCGAAAGCAUUUGCCAAGGAUGUUUUCAUUAAUCAAGAACGAAAGUUAGGGGAUCGAAGACGAUCAGAUACCGUCGUAGUCUUAACCAUAAACUAUGCCGACUAGGGAUCGGAUGAUGUUAAUUUUUUAAUGA